rnacentral:rRNA from 1 species
AACGAACGCUGGCGGCAUGCCUAACACAUGCAAGUCGAACGAUGCCUUCGGGCAUAGUGGCGCACGGGUGCGUAACGCGUGGGAAUCUGCCCUUGGCUUCGGAAUAACAGUUAGAAAUGACUGCUAAUACCGGAUGAUGUCCCCCUAAGAGAUCUUGGGGACCAAAGAUUUAUCGGCCAGGGAUGAGCCCGCGUAGGAUUAGGUAGUUGGUGGGGUAAAGGCCUACCAAGCCGACGAUCCUUAGCUGGUCUGAGAGGAUGAUCAGCCACACUGGGACUGAGACACGGCCCAGACUCCUACGGGAGGCAGCAGUGGGGAAUAUUGGACAAUGGGGGGAACCCUGAUCCAGCAAUGCCGCGUGAGUGAUGAAGGCCUUAGGGUUGUAAAGCUCUUUUACCAGGGAUGAUAAUGACAGUACCUGGAGAAUAAGCUCCGGCUAACUCCGUG